rnacentral:rRNA from 1 species
GGGACUCCCUCGGUGCUAGCAGUCGAGCGAGGAACUGUAGGACUCUUCGGAGGGAAGCAGUGGAAUGAGCGGCGGACGGGUGAGUAACACGUAAGGAACCUGCCUCAAGGAUUGGGAUAACUCCGAGAAAUCGGAGCUAAUACCGGAUAGUUCAACGGACCGCAUGUGCCGUUGAUGAAAGGAGCUUCGUCAUCACCUUGAGAUGACCUUGCGGUCUCGCUGCUAGUUGUUGCGUCAAUGGUAGACCGUGUGUAGCAUACAUAGCCAACCGGAUAAGGAUAUGACGUCAUCUGGGCCUGACACCGGUCUGACACUCGUAGGGUCCCAGAGUGCGGGAAUCUUCCAUGGCAACUGAGGUCUGGGGGGGCGCUCGCCGCGGAAUUUAGACGAUUAUCGGACGACAAAAGCUGAUGACAAGGAGCAACACGUGUGACAUUAACGCUGAAGCUAAACUGGAUCUUUCAAGCAGUCCAUGGGAAGUCAAGAGUAGGCAGGGUCUUCACGUUGAUUCGAAUGCAUCUCCCGCACUUCCGCUUGUGAAGGCCCCCUAGAUUCCUUUUAAAUUCAGGCGUGCAACCCCCUCCUCAAGCGGGGAGGUCAUGGGAAAGUGGCAGCCUGAGGCGCGAAAACACCCUUGACUUCCACGUGUGCGGGUGACAUCGGGACGACUGGGAUCACCACCCGUGUUGGAGCCCAACCUUUGGCCGCUAAGUGACGUUAGGCGCAAGCGUCGCAUCCACACUGGUUGUCUCCCAGUUGUUCCGUGUUGAACGUAUGAGCGAAUUCCUCCGUCCCUUCCCGACCUAGGCUGAGUUUACGGAUGUAGCCCUACCGUUAGGGCGAGGCGUUCCAUGUUAAUUCAGGGCAUGUUGGCGGACCCUACACGAGGUGUUGCUGUUGUGCUUCAUGCAAGACAUAGAGCUUUUCCGCGUUGUUGAUCCCUUUGCUGUGUGGUAGCCACCCUUCACGCUCCGGCGAUGGGUGGCGUGCCUCUACCUUUGGCACCGACUUUGUGA